rnacentral:rRNA from 1 species
AGUGAACGCUGGCGGUAGGCCUAACACAUGCAAGUCGAACGGCAGCACAGUAAGAGCUUGCUCUUACGGGUGGCGAGUGGCGGACGGGUGAGGAAUACAUCGGAAUCUACUUUUUCGUGGGGGAUAACGUAGGGAAACUUACGCUAAUACCGCAUACGACCUACGGGUGAAAGCAGGGGAUCUUCGGACCUUGCGCGAUUGAAUGCGCCGAUGUCGGAUUAGCUAGUUGGCGGGGUAAAGGCCCACCAAGGCGGCGAUCCGUAGCUGGUCUGAGAGGAGGAUCAGCGACACUGGAACGGAGACACGGUCCAGGCUCCUACGGGAGGCAGCAGUGGGGAAUAUUAGACAAUGGGCGCAAGCCUGAUCCAGCCAUACCGCGUGGGUGAAGAAGGCCUUCGGGUUGUGAAGCCCGUUUGUUGGGAAAGAAAAGCAGCAGGUUAAUACCCCGCUGUUCUGACGGUACCCAAAGAAGAAGCACCGGCUAACUUCGUG